GAGUUUGAUCCUGGCUCAGAACGAACGCUGGCGGCAGGCUUAACACAUGCAAGUCGAACGCCCCGCAAGGGGAGUGGCAGACGGGUGAGUAACGCGUGGGAAUCUACCUAGUUCUACGGAACAACAGUUGGAAACGACUGCUAAUACCGUAUACGCCCUACGGGGGAAAGAUUUAUCGGAAUUAGAUGAGCCCGCGUAAGAUUAGCUAGUUGGUGGGGUAAUGGCCUACCAAGGCGACGAUCUUUAGCUGGUCUGAGAGGAUGAUCAGCCACACUGGGACUGAGACACGGCCCAGACUCCUACGGGAGGCAGCAGUGGGGAAUAUUGGACAAUGGGCGCAAGCCUGAUCCAGCCAUGCCGCGUGAGUGAUGAAGGCCUUAGGGUUGUAAAGCUCUUUCACCGAUGAAGAUAAUGACGGUAGUCGGAGAAGAAGCCCCGGCUAACUUCGUG
rnacentral:rRNA from 1 species